UACGGAGGGUGCAAGCGUUAUCCGGAUUUACUGGGUUUAAAGGGUGUGUAGGCGGGCCAUUAAGUCAGGGGUGAAGUCCCGGAGCUCAACUCCGGAACUGCCUUUGAUACUAUUGGUCUUGAAUGUUGUUGAGGUGGGCGGAACGGGUCAUGUAGCGGUGAAAUGCAUAGAUAUGACCCGGAACACCGAUUGCGAAGGCAGCCCGCUAAGCAACUAUUGACGCUGAGGCACGAAAGCGUGGGGAUCAAACAGG
rnacentral:rRNA from 1 species